rnacentral:rRNA from 1 species
UACGUAGGGUGCAAGCGUUAAUCGGAAUUACUGGGCGUAAAGCGUGCGCAGGCGGUUAUGCAAGACAGAUGUGAAAUCCCCGGGCUCAACCUGGGAACUGCAUCCGAUACUGGAUGGCUUGAAUCCGGGAGAGGGAUGCAGAAUUCCAGGUGUAGCGGUGAAAUGCGUAGAUAUCUGGAGGAAUACCGGUGGCGAAGGCGGCAUCCUGGACCGGCAUUGACGCUGAGGAGCGAAAGCUAGGGGAGCAAACGGG